rnacentral:rRNA from 1 species
UACGGAGGGUGCAAGCGUUACUCGGAAUCACUGGGCGUAAAGAGUGCGUAGGCGGGGUCGUAAGUCAGGUGUGAAAUCCUAUGGCUUAACCAUAGAACUGCAUUUGAAACUGUAACCCUAGAGUGUGGGAGAGGUAGGUGGAAUUCUUGGUGUAGGGGUAAAAUCCGUAGAGAUCAAGAGGAAUACUCAUUGCGAAGGCGACCUGCUGGAACAAUACUGACGCUGAUUGCACGAAAGCGUGGGGAGCAAACAGG